rnacentral:rRNA from 1 species
GACGAACCGUACGAACGUUAUUCGGAAUUACUGGGCUUAAAGGGUGUGUAGGCGGCGCGGAAAGUAGGGUGUGAAAUCCCUCGGCUCAACCGAGGAACUGCGCCCUAAACUACCGUGCUCGAGGGAGGUAGAGGUGAGCGGAACUGAGGGUGGAGCGGUGAAAUGCGUUGAUAUCCUCAGGAACACCGGUGGCGAAAGCGGCUCACUGGACCUCUUCUGACGCUGAGGCACGAAAGCUAGGGUAGCGAACGGG